rnacentral:lncRNA from 1 species
AAAUGAGUCAGGUUUAGUUGGGCACACAGCUCAGAUUUCCGAAGCUGGAGUGGAAAGCAGCGUGCUCAGGGCUAGCCACCAGCUGGAUUGCUUGGGUGCUUACAAGCGGGACAAUCUUUUCCUGAGGCUUUGAUGGGAGGUCUAGGAAGGACCAAGCCUGGCCUGGCUUCUUGUCACCAGCUUGAGGGCUUGAUGCUGCUACCUGGUGCUGUCCUUAAGGCCUGCAUACUUCCCACCUGCCUGCCUUGGCACCCUCUCCGCUGCCAGGGGGUUUUAUCUGCUGAAGGUGAGAUCAUCUGCGUCUAGUGGUCAGACCAGAGACUUCAGAAUAAGUCUCAGGUUCGGUCCUUUUAAUUUGGAGAGGGGUGUGCAUGUUGUACGUGCAGCGUGGCGACGAAUGGUUUGGCAGCAGGGGGGAAGUGGAGGUGGUGGGGAAAGGUGUGAGCGCUUAGAGAGCACCAGGUUCGAGAUCACUCUGGUUCGUUUAUGCCUUGACCCGCUGUAUCUACCCUUACUUGCAACUGCACAGCCAAUACAUGGGGGAUGAAGUGUGGCAAAAGAGCUGGAGGGUUUGUCGGCUUUCUGUGUACGUUUAGGUGCAGAGCGUGCACCUAUUCUUUUAUUCUUUUUCACACAAAAUAUUUCUAUACUGCCUUUCAUUUGAAAUCGCAAGGCGGUUUACAGUAAAAAGAAUAAGAACAAAUAAAUAUUAAAAUUAUGAUACAAACUAAAACAGCGGCCGACAGACCAGGGAAGGAAUAAAAUUAAGAAAUACAACCAACUGGUACAAAUGACCAGCAAACAUCCGAGAAAUUAACUGAGUUUUUAGCAAGUGCGAAAAGGCCUUUAGAGGGGAGAUGAGUCCAUAGAGAAGACUAAUCUGUGUUAGUGAUUGAACAUAGAGUUGUAGGUCAUUUGAAGCUAAUCUGGAAUAAAAGGCUAUGACUUUUGGUGCUUUCACAAAUGAUGCUAAGAUGACUUUUUGUGCAUUGAACAAUCUGCAUGUCCCACUAAAUCCAGUGGUCUUUAUUCACAGGUAAGUAUGAAUACUGUUUGUAGUUUAAGGUUUUGAACACUUACUUGGGACUAAGCUCCAAUGAAUUUAGCGGGACUUUCUUCUGAGCAAGCAUAUAUGAUUGUACUGUUAGCAUGGGAUGUCCUGUUGUGUUUAAUGGUGCCAACGUGCCAUAUUUAAUAUAUGAGCUCAGUCAAAGCAGGUUUUUAAAUUUGGUUUAUAGUGGGAAAUCCAAAAAUGUUCAAGCAUCACUUGUGAAACUGGCCUUUAUGUAUGCAUUGCUGAAAUUCCCUUCAGGCUGUAUCUAUGCAUGUACAAUUGUUUGUCUGAAAGGGGGUACACUUGAUGACUUGUACAGCCAACUGUUGAGUACACAGACUGCACACCCAAUGAACAUUAUAUUACAUGAGAAUAACUGUGAGCAUACAGCUCAGCUAUUUGUGUACACAGGUACACAUAUAGUAACCUUAAUGAAGGUAAUGCUUGAACACCCCUACUGAGAAGGCAGGAGGAGCAGAAUGGGAGGCCUCCAUUUUUUCUUUUCCCCUCUGUACAACCAUAAUGCAGAAUACUGCCAUCUUUGACUAUGCAGGCCGUAAAAGUAAAGGAGUAAAGGAGCCAUUUCCACUGCCAUGCUUGCUCCUGAUGGUUGCAUGGCUGGUAGCAGUGAUAUCAUCAGGAUAGGUCUCUGGGGCAGAAGUCCAGGACACCAUGAAUCAGAAUGAACAAGAGAAGAGGACCCAAAACACUGUGGGCUUAGCUACCCACAUUUUAUUUUAUUUUAUUUUUUAAGUAAGGGAUAUAACACACAUCACCAUUUAAAAGAGAGCAGUCCCCCUAAAUACAUAAAGUUCAGAGUCUAAAAUUACCUAAAUGCACUAUGUGCUGGUAGAAGUGGGAAGUUUCCAGACAGCUUGCAUGACUCCUCUGGAAAACAGGAGCUGUACUCUAUGGUUCAUUCCCAUGACCUUUUAGUGGGGGGAAAUAUAUCGUACAUAUAGCAUAUUAUGCAUGUCCUGAGGGCACCACAUAAGGCCACUGCCCAUACAAAAGCAGCUAGACAUGUAGCUUUCCGGCCUGUGUAAAAGGAGAGAAUAAAGUUAACAGAUGUUGCAGCGAAAUGGAAGGUGCAUAUAUAAGACAGAGGUCCUCUUAGCAGCUGUUGGAAUUAUGAUUGGACAUAUAGUUUGAAACACAGAGCGUGCACAGAGGAUUACAGCUUUGUACUGACUGAUUUAUAGGACAUUGUCCAUGAUACAUGACCUUAUAAAAGCAUAAGGUGAGGGCACUCCCAGCUGUGUCUCCUGUGAUCGACACAACCAAACCACCCUAAUUUCUGCACUUAAAUGAACCAUGAACUAAUCAAAGUUUUAAAAGAAAAUUUUAAACAAGAAAGGGUAUUUUGUGUUACGUUCGUUCAUGAUCAAGUCAGCUUUUUUUAGCACUAUGGAGUGAGCUAGUAAGAAGCACCCACUGCAGCUGUGAAAGGUAUGCAUAUUUAUUUAUUUCCCUAUCCUCCACCAAAGAGAUCAAGGCACUGUACAUAGUUUUCACACACACACACACACACACACAGAGAGAGAGAGAGAGAGAGAGAGAGAGAGAGAGAGUUCUCACAGCAAUCCUAUAAGGUAGGUCAGACUGAGAGACAGUAACUGACCUAAAAUCAACUUUGGCUGAGCUUGAUGGCUGAAUGGGGAUUUGAAUCCAGGUCUCUCCUCUUAAGCCAAACACUUCAUCUACCACAUCAUACUGGCUGUCAUGUAUUUGUGAUGGGUGUUUAUGGAUGAUGGGGAUCAUUCAUCUGAGCUUGCCUAGAUUUGCAGCAGGUCAUGCACUGGACAUCUUCCCAGCACACACAGACACACAGACACACACACACACACACACACACACACACACAAUGCUGCUUAUUGCUCUCAUAGAAGUAAUGACUUUCCUAUAAAUACACAUAUAUACAUACUUUUUCUGGCUUUGGAAGGGAAUAGUUAGGUCAGAAUUGAGAGCCCAUGUGCUUCGAUAGCCAGUAAUGUUAGGCAAAGUCAUACCAGAUGUUCCUCAUUGUAGGAUGCAAGGUUCACUGCCAAGACAGACAGACAGACAGACAGACAGACAGAGAGCGCGCUAGCUUUCUGAGGUUGCUUGAAAAUAGCAGUUUCAGAAGUCUUGGGGAAAAAAGAUGGAUGUGGAAGUUCUUCCUCUACCAGCCAUCCUCCUGUCUUGGUUAAGUUAGUAAAUAAGCACUGUUGUUGAGCAAGCAUGAGUCAGAGCAGUGUUUGUACAGAGAGAAAAGUAAAAGGCAGAGAGCCAAACCUUCAGCUGGCCAAACUCAUGUAAGUUCAUUGAUUUCCACAGGCGCUCGGCAGAUUUAGCCCACAAAUCCCAUCUUGAGCACAAGGUGCAGACACAUUCAUUAAAGAGCAGGAACUGUUCCCAUCUGUAGGAAGGAGCACUGGGGAGAUUUUGUUCUUCUCUAAUUAAAGCAUUUUCCUUAUUCCAAGAGCCCUUCUUUCUUUUUGUAGUUUCCCCGGCCUCAGCACCGAGAGAGGUUCCUUUGAAAAGGCAGCUGAGGAGAGAGACCAUCCACCUGAAACGCGGGAGGCGGAAAUCGUACACUCAGUGCAACUCUCUUUAUCCCUUUUGUCUGGGAACUACAAAGAGAGAGAGAGAGUCUUGUUUUGUACACCUUUCAGAGCUCCACAGGCUGGCAUUCAUUCAUUUCGGGC